GGGUGUGCUGUGAGGCAUGCUGGAGGUAUCAGAAGUGCGAAUGCUGACAUAAGUAACGAUAAAGCGGGUGAAAAGCCCGCUCGCCGGAAGACCAAGGGUUCCUGUCCAACGUUAAUCGGGGCAGGGUGAGUCGACCCCUAAGGCGAGGCCGAAAGGCGUAGUCGAUGGGAAACAGGUUAAUAUUCCUGUACUUGGUGUUACUGCGAAGGGGGGACGGAGAAGGCUAUGUUGGCCGGGCGACGGUUGUCCCGGUUUAAGCGUGUAGGCUGGUUUUCCAGGCAAAUCCGGAAAAUCAAGCCUGAGGCGUGAUGACGAGGCACUACGGUGCUGAAGCAACAAAUGCCCUGCUUCCAGGAAAAGCCUCUAAGCAUCAGGUAACAUCAAAUCGUACCCCAAACCGACACAGGUGGUCAGGUAGAGAAUACCAAGGCGCUUGGGAGAACUCGGGUGAAGGAACUAGGCAAAAUGGUGCCGUAACUUCGGGAGAAGGCACGCUGAUAUGUAGGUGAGGUCCCUCGCGGAUGGAGCUGAAAUCAGUCGAAGAUACCAGCUGGCUGCAACUGUUUAUUAAAAACACGGCACUGUGCAAACACGAAAGUGGACGUAUACGGUGUGACGCCUGCCCGGUGCCGGAAGGUUAAUUGAUGGGGUUAGCGCAAGCGAAGCUCUUGAUCGAAGCCCCGGUAAACGGCGGCCGUAACGAUAACGGUCCUAAGGUAGCGAAAUUCCUUGUCGGGUAAGUUCCGACCUGCACGAAUGGCGUAAUGAUGGCCAGGCUGUCUCCACCCGAGACUCAGUGAAAUUGAACUCGCUGUGAAGAUGCAGUGUACCCGCGGCAAGACGGAAAGACCCCGUGAACCUUUACUAUAGCUUGACACUGAACAUUGAGCCUUGAUGUGUAGGAUAGGUGGGAGGCUUUGAAGUGUGGACGCCAGUCUGCAUGGAGCCGACCUUGAAAUACCACCCUUUAAUGUUUGAUGUUCUAACGUUGACCCGUAAUCCGGGUUGCGGACAGUGUCUGGUGGGUAGUUUGACUGGGGCGGUCUCCUCCUAAAGAGUAACGGAGGAGCACGAAGGUUGGCUAAUCCUGGUCGGACAUCAGGAGGUUAGCGCAAUGGCAUAAGCCAGCUUGACUGCGAGCGUGACGGCGCGAGCAGGUGCGAAAGCAGGUCAUAGUGAUCCGGUGGUUCUGAAUGGAAGGGCCAUCGCUCAACGGAUAAAAGGUACUCCGGGGAUAACAGGCUGAUACCGCCCAAGAGUUCAUAUCGACGGCGGUGUUUGGCACCUCGAUGUCGGCUCAUCACAUCCUGGGGCUGAAGUAGGUCCCAAGGGUAUGGCUGUUCGCCAUUUAAAGUGGUACGCGAGCUGGUUUAGAACGUCGUGAGACAGUUCGGUCCCUAUCUGCCGUGGGCGCUGGAGAACUGAGGGGGGCUGCUCCUAGUACGAGAGGACCGGAGUGGACGCAUCACUGGUGUUCGGGUUGUCAUGCCAAUGGCACUGCCCGGUAGCUAAAUGCGGAAGAGAUAAGUGCUGAAAGCAUCUAAGCACGAAACUUGCCCCGAGAUGAGUUCUCCCUGACCCUUUAAGGGUCCUGAAGGAACGUUGAAGACGACGACGUUGAUAGGCCGGGUGUGUAAGCGCAGCGAUGCGUUGAGCUAACCGGUACUAAUGAACCGUGAGGCUUAACCC
rnacentral:rRNA from 1 species